rnacentral:rRNA from 1 species
CAAACUGAAGAUGGCGACCGGCGCACGGGUGAGUAACACGUAUCCAACCUGCCGAUAACUCUGGAAUAGCCUUUCGAAAGAGAGAUUAAUACCGGAUAGUAUACGAAUAUCGCAUGAUAUUUUUAUUAAAGAAUUUCGGUUAUCGAUGGGGAUGCGUUCCAUUAGUUUGUUGGCGGGGUAACGGCCCACCAAGACUACGAUGGAUAGGGGUUCUGAGAGGAAGGUCCCCCACAUUGGAACUGAGACACGGUCCAAACUCCUACGGGAGGCAGCAUG